AUGAGGAGGAGCAUGGGUGAGGAACAGCAAGUCCACCCAGUCACCUCUAUCUGGGAAUGGACAUCAUCAGGACCAGGCCCUGAACACCAUCCUGCUGCCCCCUGGGACCAGGGGCCCUGCCAGCCCUCGGCAAAGUCAGGACAUCCUGGCAUUGAUGGGCUGCUGUCCCUCCACCACCACUCAGUUUGUAGUCAUCAAUACCUCCCUUCCUUCAGACCGCCCGGCUCUCUGUCUGCAGCAUUCACGCUGUCUGUCCUUCCUUGUGGAGCUGAGAGCAGAAGUCAUGAGAGAGGGGCCCACUGACCCCAGAGCAGCUCAAAGCACUGGCUCUCCACAGAAGCUGGUGAGGAAGGAAGCAAUGGUGCUGUGCCAUUGUCCCGCACACUCAGCUCUUCUGGGAUAAGUGCCUCGCUGAAGGCAGCUGGGCGCGAAUCUAGGACCAGCAGCCGAGGUAUCGGGACUACACACUGGAACUCCAGAGGACCCGGCUCCCUGUCCCACAGACUAACCCAGCAGCACAUCAGCUCUGCAGGCAGAGACUGCAGGCCGUUAACCCAUCACCAUGCUGGAGUUGGGAGCUAAGAUGAAGGAAAGGGAUGCAUCCUGGUGCUGGAGAAGUCAGAGAUUGUCUCUCAACAACACCAAGUAAUUCCUCUCUAGCUCUUAUGCUCACAUUUCUUUCUGCUCUACUCUUGAGCCUUCACACUGGUGCCUGGUGUUGUACUUUGCACACAGGCAAUGCCAGAGCAUGCUGGCGACUUGCUCUCCUAGGACUCUUUCAUUUGUGGGGACUGGCCUUUUAUCCCACCUGGGUCUGGAUAUAAAUGUGAGAUGUCGCAGUGUCCCAUCAGUGUGCCAUCUUACAAGCUGCUUUCUUGGUGUUACGCCCAAUACUUCCCUGCUCAGUGAUCUGUCACCACUUCCCAUUGAUCAUAAGUGUGUCCUUCUCUGUGACCUUAUCUUGACAUUGGCUCAGCUGGAACCAUUAUGAACUCCCCUGUCUUCGGUCCUGUAGCAUCCCACA
rnacentral:lncRNA from 1 species